rnacentral:tRNA from 1 species
GGUUGAUUUGUAACUGCUAUCUAAUCCCUUACAAGGCGUAGGUCGGGGGUUCGAACCCCUCAGCACCCACCA